GACGAACGCUGGCGGCGUGCCUAAUACAUGCAAGUCGAACGCUUCUUUCCUCCCGAGUGCUUGCACUCAAUUGGAAAGAGGAGUGGCGGACGGGUGAGUAACACGUGGGUAACCUACCCAUCAGAGGGGGAUAACACUUGGAAACAGGUGCUAAUACCGCAUAACAGUUUAUGCCGCAUGGCAUAAGAGUGAAAGGCGCUUUCGGGUGUCGUUGAUGGAUGGACCCGCGGUGCAUUAGCUAGUUGGUGAGGUAACGGCUCACCAAGGCCACGAUGCAUAGCCGACCUGAGAGGGUGAUCGGCCACACUGGGACUGAGACACGGCCCAGACUCCUACGGGAGGCAGCAGUAGGGAAUCUUCGGCAAAGGACGAAAGUCUGACCGAGCAACGCCGCGUGAGUGAAGAAGGUUUUCGGAUCGUAAAACUCCGUUAUUAGAGAAGAACAAGGACGUUAGUAACUGAACGUCCCCUGACGGUAUCUAACCAGAAAGCCACGGCUAACUACGUG
rnacentral:rRNA from 1 species